rnacentral:misc_RNA from 1 species
UUGUAAACUUCAGCAGUGGAGCAUGCCUGUUGAGGCUUUAUGAGGACCAUUGGAAUGUCAAAUGGUAUGGGUGACGGGAUAUCCUGAACAACCUCACCCCUACCCGUACAGUAGGCUGCUCCAUGAGAGAAGAAGAAAGGAAUAUCAGAACCAAUCUCACCAGACCACUCUUGGAGCUCCUUUUCAGUGGCAACACAACCACUGAAUUGAUUUGCUGCCCACAGAGUUGUUGCAGCAUUACUGCUCCCACCACCAAGACCAGCUCCAGUAGGCACUUUCUUAUCAAGAUGAAUCCAAAAGUAAUUGUCUGUUCCAGUCUUUUUCCUAUAAAGAUUGAGGGCCUUUAUAAUCAGAUUUCUCUCAUCGAGUGGAACUCCAGCAACAUUAGUAGAUAAACGAUCCUUUGACUUCGAUGGUGACAGCGAGAACUUUAUUUUAUCUCCUAG